rnacentral:rRNA from 1 species
UACGGGGGGGGGCAAGCGUUGUUCGGAAUUCCUGGGCGUAAAGGGUUCGUAGGUGGCCAACUAAGUCAGACGUGAAAUCCCUCAGCUUAACUGGGGAACUGCGUCUGAGACUGGAUGGCUUGAGUGCAGGAGAGGAACGCGGAAUUCCAGGUGUAGCGGUGAAAUGCGUAGAUAUCUGGAGGAACACCGGUGGCGAAGGCGGCAUCCUGGACCAACACUGACACUGAGGAGCGAAAGCCAGGGGAGCAAACGGG